GAUGAAGAACGCAGCGAAACGCGAUAUGUAAUGUGAAUUGCAGAAUUCAGUGAAUCAUCGAAUCUUUGAACGCACAUGGCGCCUUCCAGUAUCCUGGGAGGCAUGCCUGUCCGAGCGUCGUUUCAACCCUCGAGCCCCCGUGGCCCGGCGUUGGGGAUCUGCCCAGGCAGUCCCCGAAAACCAGUGGCGGACCCGUUACAGGCCCUUCCCUUGCGUAGUAGCAUUCGCCUCGCAUCGGGAGCCGGCGGGCUUCCAGCCUCUAAACCCCCAUCAAGUCCGCCCCGGCGGCACCAAGGUUGACCUCGGAUCAGGUAGGAAGACCCGCUGAACUUAAGCAUAUCAAUAAGCGGAGGA
rnacentral:misc_RNA from 1 species